UACGUAGGGUGCGAGCGUUGUCCGGAAUUAUUGGGCGUAAAGAGCUCGUAGGCGGUGUGUCACGUCGAUCGUGAAAAACUUACAGCUUAACUGUGAGCGUGCGGUCGAUACGGGCAUCACUGGAGUUCGGCAGGGGGAGACUGGAAUUCCUGGUGUAGCGGUGAAAAUGCGCAGAUAUCAGGAGGAACACCGGUGGCGAAGGCGGGGUCUCUGGGGCCGAUACUGACGCUGAGGAGCGAAAAGCGUGGGGGGAGCGAAACAGGG
rnacentral:rRNA from 1 species